rnacentral:lncRNA from 1 species
AUGUCUGGGGGCUCGGCAUGUUGGGGGGGUUGGCAGAGGGAUCACCCUGCUGGCACUUGCCCGGGCAGGGGACAGCUGCGUCCCCAUUGGGGCACUGCUGGGGACAUCGAGGCAGUUACGGCUGUCGCAGGGUCAGCCCCCCCCUCCCCAGGACCCACAGGGAUGGGGGAGCCCCUCGCAUCCCCCUGGGGCCAUGGGAGCCCCCGGCACCCCUCUGAGACGAGAAGAACACCUUCCUGGGAGACCUGGCACCCCCCCCCGGCAUUGCACCGGCACCCCCCCACCGGGGCUGCACCCAUGCUACGCUGCCCAUGCCGUGCCACCCAUGCCAUGCUAUGCCACCCAUGCCAUGUGCCACCCGUGCUGUGCCCACCGCGGGGCAAACGUGCGCUCUGCUCUGCUCUCUCACUCUCCCCCAGGCCAGUAGCUUCCAAACCCUCCUGCGGCAGCAGGCCCGGCUGGAGGUCCUGGCUAGAAGGGUCACCUUGCUGGAAGCCAUCAUCUGGCCAGAACCAGAGCCCGGCUCAGGCGGUGGCCCCCCCAGCACAGCGGCCCCCCGGCCACCCCGCGGCAAGCGUGGCAGCAGCCAACCCCCCUACCGCAUUGUGGCCCCCCACCGUCAGCCCACCGGCAAGCAGUGACAGAGCCUGGGGGGGUCACCCACUGUCACCCCCCACCCUGUGCCCACCACCGUGCUGGUAUGGGCAGCAGCAUCACCCCAUGGGGGGGCAGGACGAGGACGAGGGUCACCCACCGGUGUCCCCCUGGCCCCACAGGGCACUUGGUGCUAGCUGGUGGCACGGCACCAGCCCCCCUCCCCCACUCCGCUUUGUCCCCCAUUGCUGCUGUUGGAACCCCCUCCAGGGAGGAGCAAAGGGAUGCCAGGGACCCCCUCCCCGCCUUUCUGCCCCCCUCCCCCCAACGUGCAGCUGGGGGGUGCUUAAUUGCUCUGCUGGCCCAAGGCCCUGCAGCCACCCCUGCACUGGGGAAGGGGCUCUGGGAGGGGCUGGCAUUGGGGACCCCCCGAGUGGGGACCCCGCUGCACCGCCUGCUUUGUCCCACGGCUUUCAGACCCUCAAGGUCAUUAAAUGCCUCCUGACCCCAUGUCCUGUGGCGUCCCUUGGUGCCCUGGGGGACCUCCUUGGGUGACGCAGGCUCGUGGGGACGUGGGUGGCUGAAGGGGGUCCCCUCUACCCACAGUGGAUGGCUGGGGGUAGGGUCCCAUGGAGUGCCCCUGGGGCUGCCGAUGGGUGGGACGGGGCCAGGGGGAGAUGGGCUGUGGUGACCUGCAGGGAGACCAGGGGACACACAGCUGUGCCAGGACACCCAUGGGACACCUGCUCACCUUGUGCCACCCAUGGGAUACCCACACAUGCCACACCACCCAUGAGCACCCACCCACCCCGUGCCACCUACAGGACACCCGCCCACACUGUGCCACCCAUGGGAUGCCCACCCAUGCCACACCACCUAUGG